AAAAGCAUACACAUUCUCACUUAAGGCCUUUCUUUUUGCCUCCCGCCCCUCGCAAUUUGUUUUGUCCUACAGGGCUUGGUUUCAAUUUACAAAGAAAACAGGAAAGCAAAGUAGUCAUUUGUGGAAUCCGUCUCAUCAGAUUCUCAUAGAUUUCCUUCGCAAGGUCCAGCAACCUAAAAGCUUAUCUCAAGACUCUAGCGAUGGACGAAAAUUUCAUGCAAGAGGGAGAUAUUCGGUUGGAUACUA